rnacentral:rRNA from 1 species
AUUGAACGCUGGCGGCAUGCCUUACACAUGCAAGUCGAACGGCAGCACGGGAGCAAUCCUGGUGGCGAGUGGCGAACGGGUGAGUAAUGUAUCGGAACGUACCAUUGAGUGGGGGAUAACGUAGCGAAAGUUACGCUAAUACCGCAUAUGCCCUGAGGGGGAAAGCAGGGGAUCGCAAGACCUUGUGCUCUUUGAGCGGCCGAUAUCAGAUUAGCUAGUUGGUGAGGUAAAGGCUCACCAAGGCGACGAUCUGUAGCGGGUCUGAGAGGAUGAUCCGCCACACUGGAACUGAGACACGGUCCAGACUCCUACGGGAGGCAGCAGUGGGGAAUUUUGGACAAUGGGCGAAAGCCUGAUCCAGCCAUGCCGCGUGUGUGAAGAAGGUCUUCGGAUU